GCAUAUCAAUAAGCGGAGGAAAAGAAAAUAACAAUGAUUCCCUUAGUAACGGCGAGUGAAGGGGGAUAAGCUCAAAUUUUAAAUCUGCUAGGUCUUACCUAUCAGAGUUGUAAUUUGAAGAAGCGUUUUCCGCGUCUCGGUUGACCCAAAUCCUUUGGGAUAUGGUAUCAUGGAGGGUGAGAAUCCCGUUCGGUUGACCUUGUGACGCUUUACGAUACGUUUUCUAAGAGUCGAGUUGUUUGGGAUUGCAGCUCAAAAUGGGAGGUAAAUUUCUCCUAAGGCUAAAUAUUGGCGAGAGACCGAUAGCGAACAAGUACCGUGAGGGAAAGAUGAAAAGAACUUUGAAAAGAGAGUAAAAUAGUACGUGAAAUUGUUGAAAGGGAAACGAUUGAAGUCAGUCGUACCGACGGAAAAUCAGCUCUUUAGUGCGGACUUGUGGGCUUACGUGAGUUUUAACACCUCGCUGUUUGCAACGUUCGUGCUUUUUGGGUGUACUUUUUCGUAUGGUAGGCCAAUGUCAGUUUCGAUCGCUAUAAAAUGACCGGCGGAAUGUAGCUUCGAUCUUGUAUUGAAGUGUUAUAGCCUCUGGUAGAUGUGGUGAUCGGGACUGAGGAUUGCAACGAAUACCUUUUGGGCUAUCCGUCUGAUCUCUGAAGGUUGCUUAGGUGCCGAAAGCGUGCUUACGGUUAUUUAAGUUGACAGUCAAAAGGUUAGAACGGAUUAUAUUCGUUAAGGAUGUUGACGUA
rnacentral:rRNA from 1 species